rnacentral:rRNA from 1 species
GGCAGACGGGUGAGUAACGCGUGGGAACGUACCUUUUGGUUCGGAACAACACAGGGAAACUUGUGCUAAUACCAGGAUAAGCCCUUACGGGGAAAGAUUUAUCGCCGAAAGAUCGGCCCGCGUCUGAUUAGCUAGUUGGUGAGGUAAUGGCUCACCAAGGCGACGAUCAGUAGCUGGUCUGAGAGGAUGAUCAGCCACAUUGGGACCGAGACACGGCCCAAACUCCUACGGGAGGCAGCAGUGGGGAAUAUUGGACAAUGGGGGCAACCCUGAUCCAGCCAUGCCGCGUGAGUGAUGAAGGCCCUAGGGUUGUAAAGCUCUUUUGUGCGGGAAGAUAAUGACGGUACCGCAAGAAUCAGCACCGGCUAACUACGUGCCAGCCGCCGCGG